rnacentral:rRNA from 1 species
UACGUAGGGGGCAAGCGUUAUCCGGAUUUACUGGGUGUAAAGGGAGCGUAGACGGCGAUGCAAGUCUGAAGUGAAAGGCCGGGGCCCAACCCCGGGACUGCUCUGGAAACUAUUGAACUUGAGUGCAGGAGAGGUAAGCGGAAUUCCUAGUGUAGCGGUGAAAUGCGUAGAGAUUAGGAAGAACACCAGUGGCGAAGGCGACUUACUGGACUGUAACUGACGCUGAGGCAUGAGAGCAUGGGGAGCAAACAGG